AUGCAACGUCUUGAAGAAGAAAUUUGCAGACUGAACCUAUGGGACAGGGGCGAGGUGUGUGCUGCUACCAAGAACCUCCUCCGGUCCAUCGAGCAGCCCCCCUACUCGAUCCAGGCAGACACCAUCGUCUGCUGUUUCUCCCUCAGCGGGUGCCACUCCCAAAGCAGCAGCCAUGACGGCUAUGCAUCUAGUGAUGGCGACGACACUCCAACUCCAACCAGCAGCAACGUGCGGCAGCUUCACUAUCCGUCACAUGCCCACAUGGACCCUGGCCGUGCCCGACUCAUCUUGCCGGGCUCUUUGGACCAGCUAGAGGGCAUCAUCUGCAAUUGUCAAGUGGCUUUUGGAUCUGAUUACAAACAAGUGCUCCUCCAAGCAUUCUCGGCCAACUCACAUACAUUGAGCAGAUUUUUCUAUGAAUCGGAUGUCCUAGAGAUUCUUCGUAGAAGCACAAGGACUUUCAAGGAUCCUUCUGAGUGCACAAAAGAAUUGAUCACCAUGUUGAAAACCAACACCCAAGUCCUCUGUUUGAUGCAACAGCAGUUAUGUGAGCAGAGUCGACCAUUUGAGGAAUUAAAAUUAGGCUACUUCAACCAGUUUGCAAAGUGCCACAUCAAGAAACUCUUAGACAUUGCGGUUUGUCUUAGCAAGACAGUGUGGUCUGCCACUCAUAUUUGUCCCAUGCUGCUUGCCUAUGAGGCACUUAUGGAUGUCCUUCCUCUUAUUCAAAAGUUUGCUUCCAGUGAAUCUGAUGACUUCGUUCCCAAUAUUUUACGCAACAUGAGGGAAGCUUUCAGGAGGUUAAUUGGCCAUAUCAAGCACCACAUACAGUCCAAUAUGGAAAAGCAUCAGGAUGACGGUGCCAUUCAUCCGAUGACAUGUUUCCUCGUACGCUCAAUGAAAUCCUUUGGCAGUCACAGAAAUUUAGUGCAAUCCACUCUUUCCCCGGGUGACAACUCCAGCUCAUUUGGCCAUCUUCUGUAUGACGUGAUUACUUGCUGGAAAUCUGUGCUCACUGAACGUUCAAACAUAUACCGUGCAGAUCUGCAGCGGCAAUGCAUUUUCUUAUUGAACAACACAGAGCAUUUCAAUACAAAGACAGAUGGUCUGUUGGAUGAGCUGCUAUCUGAUAGGCAGAUUAUUAAGCAGCAUGAUGACGAGUUCAAGUUACUCUUCAGGAAGUGGAUCCAGAGUUACACAGAAGAGGCUUGCACUCCAGCCAAGUCUUGCUUGAAUCGCAACUCUCGGUGGGGCAGUCAACGCCGAUCCUUGGUUGCAUUUACUUCAAAAUUCAACAAGACUUUUGAUCGUCAGAAAACUUGGAAGGUUCCUGAUGUCGUGCUACGGCAGGUACUGAGAGAUCGUAUACAGGAUUGCAUUCUGCCAGACUACACAAGGUGUUUCAAGAACUAUUCGAGUUCAGGACUGUUUUCUUCUUGUCUGCAGAUAGCUUCAGCAGGAGACAUAUAUACCACCGAGAGUUUAGAAAAGACGGUGCAGAGCUUCUUUGAAGGAUAA
rnacentral:rRNA from 1 species